CGUGCUGGAUUUUGUGCCCUUUUUUUUGCAAACUGUGGACAUGCUGUAAGGAUAGAUGUCAGGCAGUUGUACCAGAGGUCUGUGGCUCUUCCUUUCUUUUGCGCAUAUGACACUGGAGGACAAGGAUGGCAAAGAGCAGGUGAAGGACCCUUAUGGCUUAAAGUUGGCUGGGAACUCCUUGUCAUCAGAGAAGGAAGUACAUCCACCAUCUGCAUAAGUCCAACACAGCAUUUCAAUGAGGACACUCACGUUUCUGAGGAGGUAGCAGAACUAUCGACCUAACAAGAACGUGGCUAGAUGUGGCUGUAACUUGUCCCUAAUUCUUUCAAGAGGAAGAGAAAAAGGUGAGGGACUUCACGAGCAGUCUCUGUUUCUCGUUGGCUGCUGGGAAAUGACAAUUCGGCUGCUGGUACUUGUGGUGAGAGGCUCAUGUCACUGAUUGACUGGUCGGUGGCAGCUUUGUCAAGAACAGGAAUAUAUAAAAACAGCUGUCUUGGGGCAAGACAGCACUUUGUGAAGCUGAGCAGCUCCCUGAGAGGAAC